GUGUCGGUAGUGCAGCGGUUUAGCACAUGCUCCAGGAAGGAGUAAGAUCUGAGUUCAAAUCCCAACUGACGCA